GUUCAAGAGGAUUCUGUCUCUUCUCCUUCUGUUUUUUCAUCCACAGAACCAAUCAUCAGCUUUCAUGCCUCUGAAUUUCUCUAAUCUCAUCAUUAUCAGUAUAUAUUUUAGAGGUAUCAUCCACAUGUGUUUCGUGAAUCCUGAGAACAUAUUGAAUCAACCAAGAGAUUUUGUGUUAGAUUAUUGUAGUUUUGGGCCUAUAAAUCAAUUAUUAGCGUUAAUAGAGAACUGAUUAACCAAAACAGAGAAAGAAACACUUACAACACUCAUCAGCUUUCAUGCCUCUGAAAUUUUAGUUUGAUAUAAAAAGGAGAAUCUAGCUAAAUAUACCUUUCACGUGCCGUUUUCUUGAGCAAAUUAUGAAGCAUGAGUAAUGUCUUCUUAGCUAUAUGGUUUUUUUCAUGACCACCGUUAUUAAUGAAUGUGACUAACUCUUAAAGAUCAGUGUUUCGUGAAUCCUGAGAACAUAUUGAAUCAACCAAGAGAUUUGGUGUUAGAUUAUUGUAGUUUUAAUAGAGAACUGAUUAACCAAAACAGAGAAAGAAACACUUACAAUGCGAACUUCAAAAUGAUUCGAUCCUAUUUUGGUCAAAAUCCAAAUCAAUCAUCAUGUUCCAGAAUUUACAAUGGAUUCAAAAUAACAAGAUAUAACUCAAUAUUUGCUUCUUUGUAUUUUACUCUUUAAAAUCCUUAUAAAUCUAUUCAAAUCCAAAUUCAAAUCAAAUGCUUAAUCAAAUCCUUACUAUUGAAUAACACCUAAUUUUGAAAUCUAUUUUAAAAUCACAGAACCAAUAACAGUGAAUUUGAAUACAAAUUUUAAAAUUAUAGAACCAAUAACACUAGAUUUUGCUUGGAUUUUCAAAUCCAUUAAACUGUAAAAACCAAUAACACCCCCUGAAACAUGAUGAUUGAUUUGGAUUUUGACCAAAUGAUAAUUUUACAUACUCGAAAGGUCAACAAAGAUUAAUGUGUUACUUUUCAUCAAGAUCAUCCUUUAUAAUCUUUUGACUGAUACACAUUGUUGAGUUUUAACAUAUUCUGACCAAAUCAUACUUAUAUACAAGAAGAAGAAAAACAAUCUUUAAAUGUGAUCCGCUGGUUCGUGUUUUAAUAAGCUAAACGUGGUAAUUUUCAUUUUUACUAUAAUCAAGAUUCACAUAUCGGCAGGCCUACCUCACAACACAUUAAAACACAUGCCCAAAUUAGAUAAAGUCCACGACCACAAGAAUUAUUAAGACGGCAACCUUCUAGGUCAGAAGGAGAGUUCAGCGGUCCUGGUUAGUAGUGACUACAUGUGUAUAUUAAAUGUGCAGCUCAAACGGGAGAAAUAGUUUGGUCACUGCAUAUUGUUAACGAGAUACCGUUGCAGCUUCAUGAUGGUGUCAAAGUAGUUAUGUGCGAUACUCUAGCUCCUCAUUCAACCUCCCAUUGAAUCUAUAAGUUGCCAUGAAGGUAUCUUCCAAUAACACAAUUUAAAAACUGCUGAUUAAGAUCAUAUUCACACGAUGACAACUCUUCCGAACUUUGUUUUUUCACUUCUUAUUGUGUCAUCUUAUUAAAUUGAGUUUGUUCUAGAAUAUGUAACUUUUAGAAACAGAGGGAAUAUUUUUUAGAUGUUGUUAGAACUCAGUUAUGAUGGAUUUUAAUAGAAUUCAGUAUAUCUUUUUAACUAAAACAAUUCCUACCUUUUUAUCAAUAUUUUUGAAGGAUAUCGAGAAUGGAUAUAUUUUCCAUCAAAGUAAUUGCAUACUUAAAUUCCACUACUUGAUUCAAAUUCCAAUUUUCAAUAACACUUCCUACAUGUGUAGCUCAAACGGGAGAAAUAGUUUGGUGACUUGUACAGUUGCACUAUAUGUGUACGUCAAUAUUUUGGUGUGUACACACAUACAUGCACAUAUAUAUGUAUAAGGCUAUGAAGCAGUGUCAAGGAGUCUUGAGUUGACCUUAAUACAGUUUAAUAAGAUUAUGAAAUUUCUGAUGACUUUCAUAAACAACCUGCCCGCGAUUGUAUUACGUAGUAGAUUAUGUUAUCUUGAGGUUUUUUAUUGAACUGCGCCAUAAUUUUUGACACAUACGGAAUGAUUUGAAUCAUUAAACCCAUCAUUAUUUAUUCCUAAUAAUAUUAAGUUAAGAGGAGCUAGGGUCCAUUUUCUAUAGAACUUAGUUCUAUGGUUUUAUUAUCCCUACUUAUGAUGAAUAUAUAGUUGCUGACAUAAAGGAUCUUAUUAGAAAAUCGUAAUUGUUUAACUUCUUAUGGAUCACAUAAUAAACUAAAAAGUAUCUAAUGGACAGAGAUUGAGGGGAUGAUUGGUAAUAUAUGUGAGUGCUCCACACAGCCAUAAAUUUCUCUAAAGUAAUAAAACCAAAAUAAUCAAGCUUUAUUAAUAAAAUCCAAAGUUACAGCCCAAAAUUUUUAAAAGGAAAUAUAUUGACUAUAGAAAUUAAAUUUUCUACAGCUUUUAUCAAAUGCUUUAAAAAAUAUUCAAAGUCAAAAAAAUAAAACCAAAACAAAAAUCUUACAGUCUAUUUUUCAAAACAAAAAAUCUAAAGCUACAAGCAACAACCAAUCAACCCCUAAAUCACUUGAAGAAACUUUGCCUUACAUAACGUUCUAUCACUAGGCGAUGCCCACUAUUUACAUUCUAUGUACCUACCUAUCAAAUCUAUUCUAAACCAAAUUAACAUUUAAAGAUAUAAUUUAUAUUUUCAAGAACUAUAGGUAAUUAGUACAUGAGAAUGACUUUUACUAAUAUCAACAUGUAAGAACUUAUUAAAGUUAAUUACUAAUUAGGAGAUAUACACUAAGCGUAGACGCUUAACUUUAAUUUACUUUCUUAUUUUUAUAUCUAGUUUAUAAAAAAUAUGUAUGAUCAUACCAACAGUAUAAAUUAAAAAAGAACGAUCAUCUAACCAAAUUUGAAAAAAAAGAGUCUAACAACACCAUUAAUUAGGACAUAUAUAAAACCUAUUAUAUAAUGCGUGAUGAGUAUAGUGAAGAGCCAGAUUUCUCUCCAAAUAAUCUCGAUAAGAAGUAUUAUCCGUAAAAAAAAAAAAAGAGUUCCCACUCGAUUUUUUUGGUUUAACGCCACGUGUGCAUAAUAUCUAAUCGAACAGCUCUCUUGUCUGAAAGCAAUGGGCAAAUCUGUGGAACCCAAAGACUCUGACACGAAACUAUGGGUCCUAAAACAGCGUCGUUUAGCGGAAGCUUGCGUACUAAAACACAGAAAAAAAAACGAAAACUGCAAGGAUUCAAAAAAGCUCUUAAUCAGAAGCAAACAAAAACCACCUCUGACAGUUGAAUUUUUUUUAGAUAAAAAAGCCUCUAUCUUCUUUGUUUUUGGUUACUGUUUUCACGAGAGUGUCUUCUCUAUUCGCUGUUACUCUUUCCUUUCCUUCUGAGUUAUGGUGUGAAAUGAUGGCAGCAGCAGAAGCAAGAGCAGUGUGGCAAAGAACAGCCAACCGUUACUUUGUCCAAGAAGACUCUAAAAGAGCUCCCAAGCUAACAACCUCUUCCCACUCUUCUUCAUCAUCAACGAAACAGGUUCAAGAAGAUCCUGUCUCUUCUCCUCCUCCUGUUGUUCGUCCACAGAACCAACCAUCUUCUCCAGGUUUCAUGCCUCUGAAUAUUCCUCUUCUGUUGGGUCAUCACAUUCAAGAAGAUUUGCUCCUGGGAUGGACUGUUGGAUGGAUGUAGUUGAUAUCUUUGUAGUUCAAAGCGAAGAGGAGAAUAGAGAGAGACCUGGAAAGUUUUGUUUUUUUUUCUUUGAAAAAUGUAACUCUUCUUGAAAUGAGUUUUUUAAGAUUUACUUGUAUUGUAAUGCUGCAGCUUAUGGAUUUGGUUAAAUGAGAGAAUGUAAUUUGUUGUAAGAAUUUUGUUAAAUAUUGUGUGUUUAUAAUA